rnacentral:rRNA from 1 species
GAAGAACACCAGUGGCGAAGGCGGCUCACUGGACUGAUACUGACGCUGAGGUGCGAAAGUGUGGGGAGCAAACAGGAUUAGAUACCCUGGUAGUCCACGCCGUAAACGAUGUCUACUAGCCGUUGGGACUCUUGAAGUCUUAGUGGCGCAGCUAACGCACUAAGUAGACCGCCUGGGGAGUACGGCCGCAAGGUUAAAACUCAAAUGAAUUGACGGGGGCCCGCACAAGCGGUGGAGCAUGUGGUUUAAUUCGACGCAACGCGAAGAACCUUACCUGGCCUUGACAUGCAGAGAACUUUCCAGAGAUGGAUUGGUGCCUUCGGGAACUCUGACACAGGUGCUGCAUGGCCGUCGUCAGCUCGUGUCGUGAGAUGGUGGGUUAAGUCCCGCAACGAGCG